rnacentral:rRNA from 1 species
UACGUAGGUGGCAAGCGUUGUCCGGAUUUACUGGGCGUAAAGGGCGUGCAGGCGGUUUGUUAAGUGCAGGGUGAAAGCUCCCGGCUCACUGGGAGAGGUCCUUGCAUACUGGCAAACUCGAGGGAGGCAGAGGAAAGUGGAAUUCCCGGUGUAGUGGUGAUAUGCGUAGAUAUCGGGAGGAACACCUGUGGCGAAGGCGAGUCCCUGGACAACUCCUGACACUGAGGCACGAAAGCUAGGGGAGCGAAACAGGAG